AGUGAACGCUGGCGGUAGGCCUAACACAUGCAAGUCGAACGGCAGCACAGAGGAGCUUGCUCCUUGGGUGGCGAGUGGCGGACGGGUGAGGAAUACAUCGGAAUCUACUCUGUCGUGGGGGAUAACGUAGGGAAACUUACGCUAAUACCGCAUACGACCUACGGGUGAAAGCAGGGGAUCUUCGGACCUUGCGCGAUUGAAUGAGCCGAUGUCGGGUUAGCUAGUUGGCGGGGUAAAGGCCCACCAAGGCGACGAUCCGUAGCUGGUCUGAGAGGAUGAUCAGCCACACUGGAACUGAGACACGGUCCAGACUCCUACGGGAGGCAGCAGUGGGGAAUAUUGGACAAUGGGCGCAAGCCUGAUCCAGCCAUACCGCGUGGGUGAAGAAGGCCUUCGGGUUGUAAAGCCCUUUUGUUGGGAAAGAAAUCCAGCUGGCUAAUACCCGGUUGGGAUGACGGUACCCAAAGAAUAAGCACCGGCUAACUUCGUGCCAGCCGCCGCGGUAA
rnacentral:rRNA from 1 species